UACGUAGGGUGCAAGCGUUAAUCGGAAUUACUGGGCGUAAAGCGUGCGCAGGCGGUUAUGUAAGACAGAUGUGAAAUCCCCGGGCUCAACCUGGGAACUGCAUUUGUGACUGCAUAGCUAGAGUACGGUAGAGGGGGAUGGAAUUCCGCGUGUAGCAGUGAAAUGCGUAGAUAUGCGGAGGAACACCGAUGGCGAAGGCAGUCCCCUGGGCCUGUACUGACGCUCAUGCACGAAAGCGUGGGGAGCAAACGGG
rnacentral:rRNA from 1 species